GCACCGGAUAGUAUGGCGAACUCUAGGAUGCCUUGCAGUUUUGCCCUCCGAAGGCAGAGGUCAGAGGUUCGAAUCCUCUCGGGUGCGCCA
rnacentral:tRNA from 1 species